rnacentral:rRNA from 1 species
AGCUCUUUCGGCAGGAACGAUAAUGACGGUACCUGAAGAAGAAGCUGCGGCUAACUACGUGCCAGCAGCCGCGGUAAUACGUAGGCAGCAAGCGUUGUUCGGAAUUACUGGGCGUAAAGAGUGUGUAGGCGGUGCUCUAAGUUCGGUGUGAAAUCUCCCGGCUCAACUGGGAGGGUGCGCCGAAAACUGGAAUGCUUGAACAUGGGAGAGGAAAGCGGAAUUCCUGGUGUAGCGGUGAAAUGCGUAGAUAUCAGGAGGAACACCUGCGGUGUAGACGGCUUUCUGGACCAUUGUUGACGCUGAGACACGAAAGCGUGGGUAGCAAACAGGAUUAGAUACCCUGGUAGUCCACGCCCUAAACGAUGCAUACUUGGUGUCGGCCAUUCAGUUGGUCGGUGCCGGAGCUAACGCGUUAAGUAUGCCGCCUGGGGAGUACGUUCGCAAGGAUGAAACUCAAAGGAAUUGACGGGGGCCCGCACAAGCGGUGGAGCAUGUGGUUUAAUUCGACGCAACGCGAAGAACCUUACCUGGGCUCGAACGGCUUCAGACCGCCGGUGGAAACACUGGCUUUCCCGUAAGGGACUGGAGUCGAGGUGCUGCAUGGCUGUCGUCAGCUCGUG